rnacentral:tRNA from 1 species
UUAAUUGAAGCCUAAAUAAAAGGCAUAUUAUUGUUAAUAAUAUCAGUGAAUUUAUAUUCCAAUUAAA